rnacentral:rRNA from 1 species
ACGAACGCUGGCGGCGUGCUUAACACAUGCAAGUCGAGCGAGGCCCUCUCUUCGGGGGGGUUCCCUAGCGGCGAACGGGUGAGUAACACGUGGGCAACCUGCCCUCAGCUCUGGGAUAACUCCAAGAAAUUGGUGCUAAUACCGGAUGUGACCGCUGACCGCAUGGUCUGGUGGUGGAAAGAUUCAUCGGCUGGGGAUGGGCCCGCGGCCUAUCAGCUUGUUGGUGGGGUCACGGCCCACCAAGGCGACGACGGGUAGCCGGCCUGAGAGGGUGAGCGGCCACACUGGGACUGAGACACGGCCCAGACUCCUACGGGAGGCAGCAGUGGGGAAUAUUGCGCAAUGGGCGGAAGCCUGACGCAGCGACGCCGCGUGAGGGAUGACGGCCUUCGGGUUGUAAACCUCUUUCAGUAGGGACGAAGCCGAGAGGUGACGGUACCUACAGAAGAAGCACCGGCCAACUACGU